rnacentral:rRNA from 1 species
UACGGAGGGUGCAAGCGUUAAUCGGAAUUACUGGGCGUAAAGCGUGCGUAGGCGGUUCGUUAAGUCUGGUGUGAAAGCCCCGGGCUCAACCUGGGAAUGGCAGUGGAUACUGGCGAGCUAGAGUGUGAUAGAGGAUGGUGGAAUUCCCGGUGUAGCGGUGAAAUGCGUAGAGAUCGGGAGGAACAUCAGUGGCGAAGGCGGCCAUCUGGAUCAACACUGACGCUGAGGCACGAAAGCGUGGGGAGCAAACAGG